AUUGAACGCUGGCGGCAUGCUUUACACAUGCAAGUCGAACGGUAACAGGCCGCAAGGUGCUGACGAGUGGCGAACGGGUGAGUAAUGCAUCGGAACGUGCCCAGUCGUGGGGGAUAACGGAGCGAAAGCUGUGCUAAUACCGCAUACGAUCUAUGGAUGAAAGCGGGGGACCGUAAGGCCUCGCGCGAUUGGAGCGGCCGAUGUCAGAUUAGGUAGUUGGUGGGGUAAAGGCCUACCAAGCCGACGAUCUGUAGCUGGUCUGAGAGGACGACCAGCCACACUGGGACUGAGACACGGCCCAGACUCCUACGGGAGGCAGCAGUGGGGAAUUUUGGACAAUGGGCGCAAGCCUGGUCCAGCAAUGCCGCGUGCAGGAAGAAGGCCUUCGGGUUGUAAACUGCUUUUGUACGGAACGAAACGGUCUGGGUUAAUACCCUGGGCUAAUGACGGUACCGUAAGAAUAAGCACCGGCUAACUACGUGCCAGCAGCCGCGGUAAGAC
rnacentral:rRNA from 1 species